AUUGAACGCUGGCGGCAGGCCUAACACAUGCAAGUCGAACGAGUGGCGGACGGGUGAGUAAUGUCUGGGAAACUGCCUGAUGGAGGGGGAUAACUACUGGAAACGGUAGCUAAUACCGCAUACCAUCGGAUGUGCCCAGAUGGGAUUAGCUAGUAGGGGGGGUAAAGGCUCACUUAGGCGACGACCCCGAGCUGGUCUGAGAGGAUGACCAGUCACAAUGGAAUUGAGACACGGUCCAGAAGCCUACGGGAGGCAGUAGUGGGGAUGAUUGCACAAGGGGAGAAAGACGUAUGCAGCCAUGCCGCGUGUAUGAAGAAGGCCUUCGGGUUGAAAAGUACUUUCAGCGGGGAGGCGUUACCCGCAGAAGAAGCACCGGCUAACUCCGUGCCAGCAGCCGCGGUAAUU
rnacentral:rRNA from 1 species